rnacentral:rRNA from 1 species
CGCACCCUUCGGGGCGAGCGGCGGACGGGUUAGUAACGCGUGGGAACAUACCCUUUUCUAUGGAAUAGCCUUUGGAAACGAAGAGUAAUACCAUAUACGCCCUUCGGGGGAAAGAUUUAUCGGAGAAGGAUUGGCCCGCGUAAGAUUAGAUAGUUGGUGGGGUAAUGGCCUACCAAGUCUACGAUCUUUAGCUGGUUUUAGAGGAUGAUCAGCAACACUGGGACUGAGACACGGCCCAGACUCCUACGGGAGGCAGCAGUGGGGAAUCUUAGACAAUGGGCGCAAGCCUGAUCUAGCCAUGCCGCGUGUGUGAUGAAGGCCUUAGGGUCGUAAAGCACUUUCGCCAGAGAUGAUAAUGACAGUAUCUGGUAAAGAAACCCCGGCUAACUCCGUGCCAGCAGCCGCGGUAAUACGGAGGGGGUUAGCGUUGUUCGGAAUUACUGGGCGUAAAGCGUACGUAGGCGGAUCAGAAAGUAGGGGGUGAAAUCCCGAGGCUCAACCUCGGAACUGCCUCCUAAACUCCUGGUCUUGAGUUCGAGAGAGGUGAGUGGAAUUCCAAGUGUAGAGGUGAAAUUCGUAGAUAUUUGGAGGAACACCAGUGGCGAAGGCGGCUCACUGGCUCGAUACUGACGCUGAG